AAUUGUGCCUGCAGAGCAUCCCAGCCUGUCUUAUUACAUGCUGACUCUGAUUUUUCUCUGCAGGAACAGGAGUCAGUAUGGAACCUGGAACUGAGGGGGUGAUACAAAUGGCUACUAUGUAUCAUGGAGCUCCAACAGCAGUUCAAUGCCACAGGGGUGAAUUUGCCACAGGGAUUCCUCCUGUCCAAGUACUGUUUCCCAAGAGAAAACUGAGUAUAGUUCUACUGUCAACAUUACUGAUCAACAUAGAGAGGCUGCCAUCUGCAAUUUGACAAUAAAAGAAGCAACACUGUUUUGCAUUCUAGGAAUAAAAC
rnacentral:lncRNA from 1 species